rnacentral:misc_RNA from 1 species
AAAUCGGACGUCGGGUAACAGGAGGCAUUCAGUGUUGGUGCGAUUCAAAGCUUCACAUCGUCCUUACUUAGAAUUUCGAUCUGGAGUCAUAGAAAUGCAGGACAACCGAUUUUUUAUCUUCGUGAUUCUUCUGGCAUUUUCUACAUCUCUCAAUCUUGCCAGAUGCUCGGUUGGCCAGCACUACGAAUCCACCAGAGAGGGUCAAAAAUUGAAAAUCAACGAUAGACGAUCUGCUGGAUUGGUGGCGUAUCCAAGAAUCGGGCGAAAUUCGGAAACAGCAGGCUUUCCUAGAUUGGAGCGUACUUUUGGAAUAAUAAGUAAGCCUCGAGUCGGACGAUCCGAUGAAUCGAGCUUGGGCGAUUUGACUCGAUUUCGUGAUUUGCUGGCCGACAUCGAUCUCGAGUUCUACAUUGCACGCAACAUGGAACCUGACAUUCUCGAUUACGAAGAGGACAGACCAAUAACAAUUAAACUUGCCGAUAAAAUUCAAAAAGACGGUUCCUGGUUAAUACCCGAUUACUUACGCGGAAACAAGGACCCACGAUCAUACUACUCUAUUUUGCGAGUGAAAUAAAUACUUCAAUUUUAUCUCAACCCCGUGUGACGCUGAGAUUGCAUUGUACAAAAGAGCACUAGCAGUACGUUCGCAAUAAUGAAUACCGACAUCUUUAAAUGUUGCAGAAGGUUCUCGAAAUAGUCAAGGUCAAGGAGGAUACACUCCAAGACUAGGUCGUGAGAGCGAGCACGACGCUGCGAGUUUCUUGUAACUUGCUCCUCUAUCACGAUUCGCGUCUCGCGAAUUUGACGGAUGUUGACUCGAGGCAAAGGAGGAAUUUUAUUGUAAAAAAAAAAAAGAAAUGGCAAGGAACGUAACGUGCGGUGCUUUUGAUCCUAUUUGCAUAGGCGAUCCACCUUAUCCUUGCACUUUGUACGCAAGUUAUGCAACACAAUACAUAAUCUGCACCUAAAUACUGCAGUUUAUAAUCUUACAUGCAAUCCUCUCGCCUUGUAUCGUCACGAAAUAGCAAUUCUCCGGCGAAGCAACCCGAUCUUGAUGUGACUCGGCAUGCUAUCCUAGAGAUUUCUAUUUCGAGCUACUCGAUCCAAUUUUAAUGUUUUUUAUAAGAAAAUAAUAAAGAGCAGAAAUAUAAA